rnacentral:lncRNA from 1 species
AUGGCCUGGCUCCUGCCUCCUCCCUGCCGGUGCCACGCUGUCCUGGGGAAUCGGGCAUUUGGGGCAGGGAGACUGGUCCACGCUGCCAGCCCGGCAGCCCGGAGCAGGGGUGAGCAGAACACGAAUUCACCCAGGAGGAGAAGCGGAAGAAGGUUCUGGCUCCGCGCCAUGGAGGAAACCCAGGGCUCACCCGGAGGUCAGGAAACGGGCGCAGAGGGGCCAGGGGCCUCUCCACAGCUCCUCCAGUGGAGGUGGGAUCAGAACCCACGUUCUGCCCCCUCAGCCGCCCCGCAGUGCCACUGGGGGCGAUCACUCUGCUCCUUUGGGGGCAGAGUCCCUGCUGGGCCCGCUGUCCGCAGGGAAGUCCCCACACAUGUAUGGGAAAGGAGAGCAGACCCAGAGUGUGGGAUCUCCGGUCGCUUCUGGCCUGCCCUGGCUUGCAGAGAGAGCGUCUGGCUUGCAGUUUGCGCAAAGUGGACGAGGACGCGUUUGCUGAGGGAUUGUUCUCUUCCCAUCCGGGACGCUGGGUAUGGUGGCCACAGCUGCUGCGGCAGCCUGGGCUCGUUGGGCAGGUGCACCGUGCCUUGCAUCCUGUGUGCUUGGUGUCCGCUGAGGGGACGGAAGGUUCCAGGUGUCUGUGGAUCUGCUGCUGUCGCUGUCGGGUCGAGGGCGCUGUGGCCGCCCCCGCUCAGGGAACCCCACGCAAUGCGGAGCUGCAAGUGGAGGACAGCUGUGCCCCCACCCCCCAGGCCUGGCCCUGCUCCUGGGAGGGGUUGGAGGGGAGAGCCAGUGCGGGAGGGGCGCCCGGGCCUGCUGGCACUUGGUUUGCCUGUCCACACGGCGUCCUGCCCAGCUCCGGGAUGGGCUGGGGGUGUCCCUCCCGCCGGCCGUGGCCUCAUUCCUGGAAUUGCUGCGUGGUUUGUGGGGAUGGCUCAUUUGUGGUUGGCCUCUUGCUCAGAGUUCCAGUUCGUUUUUGUGAGUUCUGGGGAACAGCAGAGCCUGGGGAACCCUGGCCUGGGGGUCAGCUGCUGUCCGUGGGAGUGGCUGUGA